UACGUAGGUCCCGAGCGUUGUCCGGAUUUAUUGGGCGUAAAGCGAGCGCAGGUGGUUUAUUAAGUCUGGUGUAAAAGGCAGUAGCUCAACCAUUGUAUGCAUUGGAAACUGGUAGACUUGAGUGCAGGAGAGGAGAGUGGAAUUCCAUGUGUAGCGGUGAAAUGCGUAGAUAUAUGGAGGAACACCGGUGGCGAAAGCGGCUCUCUGGCCUGUAACUGACGCUGAGGCACGAAAGUGUGGGGAGCAAACAGG
rnacentral:rRNA from 1 species